CCUACGGGAGGCAGCAGUGAGGAAUAUUGGUCAAUGGACGAGAGUCUGAACCAGCCAAGUAGCGUGAAGGAUGACUGCCCUAUGGGUUGUAAACUUCUUUUAUAUGGGAAUAAAACGUUCCACGUGUGGGAUUUUGUAUGUACCAUAUGAAUAAGGAUCGGCUAACUCCGUGCCAGCAGCCGCGGUAAUACGGAGGAUCCGAGCGUUAUCCGGAUUUAUUGGGUUUAAAGGGAGCGUAGGUGGGUUGUUAAGUCAGUUGUGAAAGUUUGCGGCUCAACCGUAAAAUUGCAGUUGAAACUGGCAGUCUUGAGUACAGUAGAGGUGGGCGGAAUUCGUGGUGUAGCGGUGAAAUGCUUAGAUAUCACGAAGAACUCCGAUUGCGAAGGCAGUUCACUUAACUGCAACUGACACUGAGGCUCGAAAGUGUGGGUAUCAAACAGGAUUAGAUACCCGGGUAGUC
rnacentral:rRNA from 1 species